rnacentral:rRNA from 1 species
AGUGAACGCUGGCGGUAGGCCUAACACAUGCAAGUCGAACGGCAGCACAGUAAGAGCUUGCUCUUACGGGUGGCGAGUGGCGGACGGGUGAGGAAUACAUCGGAAUCUACUUUUUCGUGGGGGAUAACGUAGGGAAACUUCCGCUAAUACCGCAUACGACCUACGGGUGAAAGCAGGGGAUCUUCGGCCCUUGCGCGAUUGAAUGAGCCGAUGUCGGAUUAGCUAGUUGGCGGGGUAAAGGCCCACCAAGGCGACGAUCCGUAGCUGGUCUGAGAGGAUGAUCAGCCACACUGGAACUGAGACACAGUCCAGACUCCUACGGGAGGCAGCAGUGGGGAAUAUUGGACAAUGGGCGCAAGCCUGAUCCAGCCAUACCGCGUGGGUGAAGAAGGCCUUCGGGUUGUAAAGCCCUUUUGUUGGGAAAGAAAAGCAGCAGGUUAAUACCCCGCUGUUCUGACGGUACCCAAAGAAUAAGCACCGGCUAACUUCGUG